UACAGAGGGUGCGAGCGUUAAUCGGAAUUACUGGGCGUAAAGCGCGCGUAGGCGGCUUUUCAAGUCGAUUGUGAAAUCCCCGGGCUUAACCUGGGAACUGCAGUCGAGACUGUCUAGCUAGAGUAUGGGAGAGGGAAGUGGAACUUCAGGUGUAGCGGUGAAAUGCGUAGAUAUCUGAAGGAACAUCAGUGGCGAAAGCGACUUCCUGGACCAAUACUGACGCUCAUGUGCGAAAGCGUGGGGAGCAAACAGG
rnacentral:rRNA from 1 species